rnacentral:rRNA from 1 species
CACGGGGGGGGCAAGCGUUGUUCGGAAUUACUGGGCGUAAAGGGCUCGUAGGUGGCCAACUAAGUCAGACGUGAAAUCCCUCGGCUUAACCGGGGAACUGCGUCUGAUACUGGAUGGCUUGAGUUUGGGAGAGGGACGCGGAAUUCCAGGUGUAGCGGUGAAAUGCGUAGAUAUCUGGAGGAACACCGGUGGCGAAGGCGGCGUCCUGGACCAACACUGACACUGAUGAGCGAAAGCCAGGGGAGCAAACGGG